AGGAAACAUUGCUACACAUAGGUAGGCCUCUCUUCUGCAAGUUAUCUUGAGUUAAGCAAGCUUGACAAGUAGCAAUCCAAUUUAAUUGCAAUUGUCUUCCAGGUAAUCUUCCUUGGCCAACUAACUUGAGACUCAUCUAUUCUUUAGUAGACUUUUGUAGCAAGCAUUAACACUAAACUUGCCAUCUUUUCUUCAUCUUCCGCAUUAGAGUGUCAAGAGAAACCGGCUCCAACUUCUGGACAUUAAUACAAUCAAUCUCUCAAUCAUUCAUGUUUCUCCUCAAGGAGAAAAGCAGUCAGCCGUAGUGCAGUCUUUGUGUAAAAGUCUGGGAAUUGGUCUUUGAGAGGAAUAUCAUCUAGCGACCUGUCUAUUCACAUUUUUAUUCACUUUCCAUUGCUGAUUUUCAGCUUGAUAAUCUCAAAAAACUCAUCUCAAAGCCCCUUAUGUACUUGGGAAACAUUGCAACUAACUCAUAACUGAAAAUUUACAUUCCACAAAAUUGAGUAGGGUAGAAACACUUGGCUAAAAGAAAAUUACAACAUAAGUUCAAAAGUACCAGAUUAAGAAUACUCCAAGUAGAACGGAAUAAAAUUGAGCUGAAAAUCUUUACUUUAUCAAAAAGGGGGGGGGGGGGGGAAAUCUAUUAAGUAAUAUGCACUAUGCACUUAUAUCAUGUUAGUAGGGGCUGUAGUAAAUGCAGUGGGAGCUAUUAAGUAAUAUGCAUUAUUCACUUUUAUCAUGUUAGUAGGGGUUGUAGUAAAUGCAGUGGGAACUAUUGUAUUAGGAGCACCGGUAGGUUUUGAGUAUGUAAUCAUUUAGGGUGUGAUUGGUAUAACGCAAAAUAUUUUCCGUGAAAAAUACUUUCCAAGAAAAUAUUUUCUUCGAAAACAAGUAGUAAUCUUAUUUAUUUUCCGGUGUUUAAAAUAUUUUCCGUGAAAAAUGCUUUCCAAGAAAAUAUUUUCUUGAAAAACAAGUAGUAAUCUUAUUCAUUUUCCGGUAUUCGGUAUGCAAAUUAAGGAAAAUAACUUCUCAAGAGUAUUCAUAAAUAAUUUAGAUACAAUAAUCAUGAAACCUUAAACAAUUGAACCAACAACCUUCCGAACCCACAAAUUUCAUAAACUUCCGAACUGCUAAACUUCGAAACAGCGAACUUGACCGGAAAAAAAAACAGAAAUUUGAAAGAGAAAAAAAGCCUUUUUUGGAGAGAGGGGGUGGGGCAGGUAGGCAUUGGGGUGGGUGGGUGUAGCAUGGGUUGAUGAGGGUGGAAAAGGUUGAGAAGGAGUUUGGGAAAAUGUUUUUCUCUAGAUAAGGAAAACCUUUUCCUCCAAUUGGAGGAAAAUGAGUUCAUAAGGAAAAACAUUUUCCUCCUUCCAUGAUCAUCAGGUAUGCUCUCUAUUUUUCACAAAAUCGCCAAAGAUUGGCAAUUCACACAUUCUAUUCAGUCCAUAGAUGGGUUUUUCUUGUCGGUAGUAGUAAUAGCGGGAAAAGGAAACCGCUGAUCCGGGAUCCAUGCACAGCAAUCUAGUGAUGCAUAAACCAAGUACUUCAAGACUGACUGAAACUAAAAUGCAGAUCUCGCAAGGCAACACUCUCCAACAACCUUUAGGUAAGACAAAAGGAAAGGCUUAUUCAACUUCUUAAAGAAAAAUAAAGAAAAAGAUCAUGCUUACACCCAGGGAUGCGGCCUAGAGGCCAAUGAAAUGGGAGGGAAAGGCUUAUUCAACUCCUUAAAGAAAAAUAAAGAAAAAGAUCAUGCCAACACCCAGGGAUGCGGCGUAGAGGCCAACGAAAUGGGAUCUCAGGUUUAAAUCCCAACGGAGACAAAAACACUAGGUGAUUUUUGUAAAUUUGUCCAAGCCUUAUGAUACCUAUUGUUGGUGGGAGGUGACAAGUAUCCUGUGGGACUAGUCGAGGUGCGCACAAGCUGGCCAGGACACCACAAUUAUCACAUAAAAAGAAUGAAAGGCGCCAAAUAGAUGAAAUCAUACAUGCAUUUUAAAUUGUAUCAGCAACAAUUUCGAAUAUUAUACAGUAUAGACUUGAAUCAAUGCAAGUUAGUUAAUGAUCACGAAAAGUUGAACACAAGAAUUUCUAUCUUUGUGUUGAGUUAUAGCUUAUUGUUGUUUCAAGCAAAGACCAAAAUCACAGAGAAGGUGUCUGAAAAUGCUAGGAAUUCAAAGUGUCAGCAUGUUCAUCAACUAGUGUCUUUGGGAUCAAGCAGUUGAAGCGAGCACAUAUAAACUUGAGAGAAUUAAAUUGCUUAUUGAACUGUUUCCCCUUUUUUGGGUAACAACAACACCACCAAAGUCAUCAAAGAGAGCACAUAUAAACUUGAGAGAAUUAAAUUGCUUAUUGAACUGUUUCCCCUUUUUGGGUAACAACAACACCACCAAAGUCAUUCAUCAACUUAGCAAUUACGAAUCAACAACAACAACAACUACCCAGUAUACUCCCACCAGGUGGGGUCUGGGGAGGGUAAUAUGUAGACGAGCCUUACCCCUACCCGAAAGGGCAGAGAGGUUGUUUCCAAUCGACCCUCGGCUCAUAGGAAAAGUUACAAAUGCCAUUUCUAAUAAAUGAGCAGAAUAUUAUUUAGAAGAUGUAUUGAGACCAAAUUCUAAACACUCAUCAGACAAGACAAGAAACGGAGGAUGAAGAACUCCUACAACAACUACUACUGAUCAGAAUAUUGUUUAGGAUUCUAAACACUCAUAAGAAAAUUGUUUAGAAAGACGUUUGGAUAUUCACUUUUCCUAGGAAAGUUCUACUAUUCUAAGACAUAAUGUGACCAAAUAACAUCAUAAAAUUGGACAAAAUAUGUAAUUGGAAAUGGGUAACUUAUGUUCCUAUGUCGUAAUUAUAAAGAAAAGACCUCAAAUAUUUACAACUUGCACAAAAUGCUUAUAGCUUUUUGCUCUUUGCACUAAGUUAUUAAUUACAACUAUGAGAGUAUGAUUGACGAACUACCUAUAAGUCGAUAAAAGCUUUACUUCCGAAAGUUUAUAGAUGGAUUUUAAGGAUUAGAUAGCAACAUUUUACCAAGCAAGAAAAUUUACAAAGGCAAGCAAUUUGUUUGAGAAGAGUAACCCCAAUGUCUAAUAGACGUGAAGGCGAACACUUACCCAUUAGACUAAAGCAUAGACAUGAAUAUAUCACACAAAUUUUAAGUGAAACCAACACUAGAAUAAUCGAACAGAACUAAAAGAAUAUGUUUAUAAAAAAUAUUACCAAAUAAAGAAAAAGGAGCAGCGAAACGAUUUUUCUGAUUAACCAAGAAAGCAAACAAUGAAUAUCGAAUAUCCAACAUCGAUAGCAAACAUCGAACAAAAAUCUCAUGGUUUCAAACGAAAAAUCAAAACUUGACAAAUAAAUGCCCCAAUUUUGCAAACUAGAAAUCACAGCGAAUAUCGAACAUUGACUGCAAAAAUGAAACACAUAAAAUAUUACCAGAAAGAUUAGGGCAGCAAAAUGAUUUUCCUAGAUAUUACCAGAGAAAGAAAAAAGGAGAAAAUGGAGAAAGAAAAAGGAGCAGCGAAAGAUAAAAUUAACCGAGAAAGAAAAAGCCCCCGAAAUAAUACCAGAGAAAGAAAAAAGGAGCAACGAAACUAUUUUCUAAAUAGCCAAGAAAGAGAAUAUCGAUAGCAAACAUGGAACAAAGAAAAUCUCAUAGUUGCAAACAGAAAAUCAAAACCUAACAAAUAAAUCCCUCAACUUUGCAAACUAUAAAUCACAAAUGUAUCAUGUAAUAUAAAUAAAGCAGAAGCAAAAUAAUGUGUUUACAAGAACUAAUACCAGAUAAAGAAAACAUAAGUGGAAAAAGAAAGAGAAAAUCGAAUAGUUAUACAAACAUCAAACAUGGGAAUAAUUGAUAACCUACCUCGAAGAUAACUCGUAUGUUAGCCGAAACUAGUUUUCAUUCACCGGCAGUAGUCAUCCUUCGCCGGAGCUGGCCGAUAGAGUUCGUCAAUGGUGAGGUCGACGCGUUCUAGGUUGAGGAUGGGAGAGAGCUUAGCAAUUACGAAUCAUAUUCUUAAAUUUUGAACUGCAAAGAUUCAGUAAAUGUAUGACCGCAAUUUAUUUUCUAAACUUUCAUUAAGAAUAAAAGAGGGAAAAAGGAACCUGUAUACACGAAUGUGGUUUUAACUGGAUGUCACCAUCAGUGUCAUUUUUUGUGUAUAUAUCAACAACAAGAAGUGCUGAAUUAUCCGGCAGAAGCAAAAAUGGGAGCAUUUUGAUAUCGUCCAAUGACAUUGUGCACCUCCGUUUGCAUGAUAUACCUAAUUUGCAACUCCACCUCGUUUAAGUCCUAGGCCAAAGUCAGAGCACUCUGCUAAACAACACAAGUUCUUUUUAGUGGCAUGCUUUUUAAGUCAGUUUCAUAAAAAACUCUUCACAUCCAUCAUACUUAUCCACAUCUUACCACACUCCAAAAUUGAAUUUCAUGGGAAGCAACAAACUUAUCUCAUUUAGAGCUUUAAGAUUUCAUUAAGCUCCAAAUAGGCACUUAGUUUGGGUAUCAUCCUUACACUGAUGUGCUUCACAGUUUAAAAUGGUAGCGGAGGCGGCCAGAUUUGCUUAGCAAACUAAAAAUAUCCUUUGCAAAAUCUUGAUUACCAGUUAGCAAAAGCCCAUUUAGGAUCCGGUUGAAGGUAAAUUUUCGAGGAAGAAAUCCUCUGUCAACCAUUUCUGUCAAUAGUUUCCCAGCCAAUAAUAAAUCAUCUGAUUUUUUCCUAACAAACAUUGCACUUAUAAAAAUAUUAUAUGUAUCCAGAUUAGGUAAACAAUCGUCGGUACUCAUCCUCUCAAACACCCUCAGGCCCUUCUCAAUUUCCCCUUCAUCACAAUAAUAUCGGAUGACAACAUUAUAAGUCUGAACAUUUGGUUCACACCCAUCCUCUUUCAUCUUAUCCAUAUAUUCCGUAGCCCUGUCCAUUUCUCCAACAUGGCACAAUCCCCUGAUAAUGGCAUUAUAAGUUGUGGCAUUCGGCAAAUAACCUUUCCUCAACAUCUCAUCGAACGACAAAAUAGCAUUUUCCACACUUUCUUACAAAAACUUGUAUCAGCGCAUUAUAAGUUGCAACGGAGGGAAGUAUGCCAGCUCCCACCAUUUCAUUGAACACCUUUUGCGCCUUCUCAACUUCACCCGCAACACCAAAUCCGUGAACCAUAGUAGUGUAAGUAACAACAUCAAUAUCACAUUUUCUCUUCUUCAUCUGCAAAAAGAAUUCCCAAGCUUCCCUAAUCUGUCCUGCUCUAAAGAACCCAUUAAGCAUUAUGUUAUAUGUAGUUAUUGUGGGAUUCAAACCUCUCUCCACCAUUUCUGUCAAAAUCUCUUGUGCUUUAGGUGUUCGCUUAAUUAAACAGAACCCGUUCGCUAGUGUGUUAUAACUAAUCGUAUCAGCUCUGAACCUGCUCUUAAACAUCUUGAACAAAUUAUAAGCCAUCUCGGCCCGUUUAGAUUUACAAAGCACGUCAAGGAAUGCAUUGAAAGAAUUCAAAUCCUGAGGGCAACCAUGUUUAUGCAUAGACAGGAAAACCUUCAACGCUUUAUCAGCUUUCCCAGCAGAUACGUACCUCUCAGUGAUGAUAGCGAAUGUUUUCGGGCUCGGACAGAGCCGCCGAGAUUGCAUUCGGGCCACGAGCUUCCAGACGGUCUUGUAAUCGCGCAUACGAGCAGCGAUGUCAAUAGCAUGGUCAAAAGCUGUAGCAGAGUGAGCAUAGGAACGGUGGUGAUCGAGGAGGUUGAAAAAUUGGAGGGCUUUCGGGCCGUGGUUCCAGAGACGCUUUAGGACAGAGUGAAUGAGGUCAGGUGUCCAUUGGGUGAGUUUGUGAACGGUAUCUGAUAAUGAUUCUGGGUUGUUUUGAAGUAUGAGGUUGGAGAUUGCGGUGGCAUCUGGUGGUGACUGUGACGGCGAUUGCUGUGGUGACGGUGGUGGAAGAGAGGUGAAAUAACGGAGGGAGGUGGAAAUGGGAUUUAGAGGUGCUUUGAGGAUUGUGGUAUUAUCGGAGAUAAUUUAAUUACCAUUCCAUUAUACAAACACAGAAGUACCGUGAUACAUAUGGAAUUGCGGCAUAAAACUAUGAAGAGUCUAAAAGUACGUGAAACAUUAGACCAUACACGGAGAAGCAUCUCCCUUCAUUCUUACAGUCAAGUGGAAAAGUACAUAAUAACCACAGCAAUGGGAAAAAAAUAUUAUCGGAGAUAAUUUAAUUACCAUUCUUUUAUACAAACACAGAAGUACCGUGAUACAUAUGGAAUUGCGGCAUAAAAGUAUGAAGAGUCUAAAAGUACAUGAAACAUUAGGCAAUCAAACACAAUUUAACUGAAAAGGAAAUGAGCACGAAUCCAUCUCGUCAUCCCCGAUUUCCAUUUAGGUUUGUUUAGAACAAAUAUAUUAGAUAACCCAAUUCACUGUGACAUAACCAGAGUUUAUAAUGAAGCCAAAUAAUAACUCUAGAAAACUUACCGAUUUAUGUUGGUGAUUGAUCAUAUUGGCCGCAAAAGGGAAAACAACUAUUAGCCAACUUGAUAGACAUGGCAGCAGAGCAUUGCAUCUAAGCAAAAAGGUUAAAUCAUGAUGGAGUUAGGCCUAGCGCCCUACCCCCCCCCCCAGGCGGAGGGAGAUGGAAAUGGGAUUUAGAGGUGCUUUGAGGAUUGUAGUAUUGUGCAGAUUCAACAUUUCACCGUUCUGCUGAUUAUUGCCCUAAAGAGUAAAGACUGCGUGCAAACAAGUGUUGACGAACCCUUCAACUCAUGUUCGCUUAUUUUCUUAUUUUUAUUUUUUUAGGUGGGUAAUCAAUUAGACUAACCUCUAAAAUUAAAUUGGAUUAGAUCAAUUCAAUAUUUUUAAAUUAAAAUUUAGAUAUACAAAACUAUAGGAAAAAUCUUACAAUAUAAAUACAAUGAUAAAUAUAUUUUAAAAUAUCGGUCCAAAUCCACAUAACUUGACUAUGAAGAAGCAAAAUAUGACAAUUAAACCGGGGAAUAUAAGGGUUGCUUGGUUUGGAAAACUGUGAGAUUAUAAUCACAAAUCUAUAUAUAUAUAUAUAUAAAAAUUUGAAUUAAAGUUAAUUUUGAAUUUAUAGAUAAAGUUCCAAAAUUCGAAUUCAAAUUAAAAAUAAUUAUUUAAACAUGUUAUCAUAAUUAAUUCAGUUAAUGAUCAUAUGUGUGACGACCUGACCCGUCGCCUCAUGAGUUACCACUCUGUUUCCCCCAUUUUAUGCUUCUCUACGCUUCAUUAUCGGUAUUGGAUGUGAUCGGACCGAUUCGGAUUGGUUUUGGUAAGAAAUGAGACACUCAGUCUCUUUAAGGAAUGUUUGGUUUGGAAAAGUCAAUCGGAUAUUGACUUAUGAGUUAGAGGGCUCGGAUGUGAUUUCCGGUGAUUCGGUUAGCUUCGGGGGAUGAUUUGUGACUUAGGAGCAUGAUUGAAAAUAAUUUUGGAGGUCCAGUGUAGAAUUAGUCUUGAAUUGGCGAAGUUAGUAUUUUGGCGAUUUCCGGUUGAUAGGUGAGAUUUUGAUCCGAGGGUUGGAUUAAAAUUUCAAGAGUUGUAGUAGUUUUGUUAGGUAAUUUGGGAUGUGUGUGCAAAAUUUCAGGUGAUUCGGAGAUAAUUUGGUUGGGUUUUUGAUCGAAUGCAAGUUUUGGAAGAUUUUGUAGAACUUAGGCUUGGAUUUGUUGGGAACUGAUGAUUUUAGUGUUGUUUGGUGUGUUUUGAUGAUUGGAACGAGUUUGAGUGAUGUCUUAGGAUGGGUUGGAACUUUUGUUUGAGAUUCGGAGGCCUCAGGGUGAUUUUGGAUAGCUAAUAGAGAGUUUUGGACUUGGUUAGUGCAGCAGAAAAUGCAUCAGCUGUGCAGGCCAAAGUUUUGCCUUCGCGUUCGGGGUCGGUCUCACGCGCUCGCGGAAGGCUAUUUUAUGGGCAAUGCGUUCGUGUAUAAGGGGCCUGGGGUCCUGCCGAGUUUGUUCAUCGCGUUCGCAACCAAGGGGUUCGCGUUCGCGUAACGAGAGUAGCUACAACAUCGCGUUCGCGGCCUAAGGCUCGCGUUCGUGUAGUUUUAUCAGCUUGUGCAUCACGUUCGCAGGUGAGUCACCGUGUUCGCGAAGAGGAAAAGUUGGUCAGUGGAAUUUUGGGCAACGCGAACGGGAUAAGGCCCUCGCGUUCGCAUAGAGCAAAUUGGCACCUGGGCAGAACAGUUUUAUAUUAUUUCCUCCGCGAGCUAAGUCUUAUUUCCUCCAUUUUUGAACAUGCUUGAGAGCUUUUGGACUAGAAUUUAAUAGGGUUUCGACUAGGAUUGAUUGAUAAGUCCUAUGAUCUAAAAACAUGAUUUUAUCGUAGAAUUAACCUAGAAAUUAAUAAAAAUUGAGCAAAAAGGGAAAGAGCUGGGGCUUGAAUUUUAAUAUUUCAAAUUGGCUAUUGAUGGGUCAUUUGAGCUCGAAUUUGAGAGUUCUUAUUAUGUAUAGACUCGUGGCGAGAUAAGGAACCCGCUGAUGUAAAAAAUUUUGAGUUUCGAGAAGUGGGUCUGGUGCUCGGAUUUUGCUAAUUUUGGGAUUUUCGAUAUUUUUCUAUUAUUUUUGAUUGGGUAUUAUUCCCUUAGCAUAUUGUGACGUAUUUGUCGUGGUUUUGGUCAGAUUCAAUGCGCGAGGAGGCCAUUCGAGAGGCAAGGGCAUAUCAAGCUAGAUUUUUGGCCAUCUUGAGGUAAGUAAUGAUUGUAAGUGAUGUCUUGAGAGUUUGAAACCCCGGUUGCACAACGUAGUGCUAUAUUGAGGUGAGACACGCGCUAAAUGACGAGUGCAUGGUUGUUUACUACUGGGGAUUGUGACUUGGUCCAUCCCGAUUGAAUUUUUUACCGCCUAUUUGACCGAGACAUAAAUUGUUAUCAUCAUGACUUGGGCUUAAUGCCAUAUUUGGGCUUCGUGCCAUUUAUUUGGACCCUUGGGGAUUUUCAUCACUAUUUCCUCACUAUUUUGACAUACUAGUUGAACUCAGUCCUAUUGAUUAACACUGUUUUUACAAAUCAGCCACUUUUACUUGAUCUUUGAGACUUAAAUGAUAUUCUAAGAUUGUUUGGGCUGAGCACUAUUGUUUUACUGAUGCUCGAGUUGCUUGUGAUGAUUUUUUGGACUUAUUGAGGCCGAGGGCCAUAUGUGAGGAUAUGUUGAGUGAUGUGAGAAGGAUUUCAGACUUUAUGCGUUAUGUGAGAAGGCUUUCAGGCCUUAUGUCGAUAUGAGAAGGCUCUCAGGCCUUAUGUUGAUAUAGCGCUGUCGACGCCCCCUUUUUCCCUCCUAAAAGAAGCGAAAUCGGGUCUACAACAUUAUGGACAAAACAACUCGUAUUCCCUUUUGGGAAUUGUGUUAAGGAGUUUUAAGAGUCGUCACUUAAUGAUUAUACUGCAUUAGGACACUUUCGAGAAGAAGAAGAUUUUUUGGAUGAAAACCAGAUUUCGGGUAAGGGCUUGAAAUUAUCUCGAGGGGAAGGUGUUAGGCACCCCUCAAGAUCCACUAGUGUAUUUCCCGGCCUUGCUUUGAUGUGACUUUAAGAAGCAUAAAAAUGGACAAGCAAAUGUGUAUAUAAAGAAUAUAAAACUAAUGGGCAAUUUUUGAAAAAAGAAUAGUAUAAGUAAAUGGGAGAUUUUUAGAGAAAAUAUUUAAAUAAAGCAAAAAGAGGGGGGGGGGGGGUUUAUGUUUAACUAUAAUAUGGAUCAUUCGAUACAAUAUCCCGCACAUAUUCCCAAAGAGGGGUCCGUUUAUGAUAUAAUCGCAUCGUCAUUAUCUCCAUAUUCUACCCUUCCUACCCUGUAAAGGUUAUUUAAGUGUGUGAAUUGGUCACGAACACUUAUUGCGUGCUAUUACCCGUCCAGUUCAAUAAAUCCUAGAGGGCACUUAGGAUCACUAUUCCUAUAAGGUCGAAACUAGGCUGACCCCCUAGGUUCAAAGGUUAAAAUGCUAUGUGACAUGCAAAAACAAAUAGGACUUGCACAUAUAGGAAUCAUGUAAAACAUAUAAGGUCUCAUAUAUCCCUCUACAAACGAACAUGUAAUUAGCACGUCUCAAAACACAUUUUGCUAGGCGAUAUACAAAAGCAAAUAGGACUUGCACAUAAAGAAAUCAUGUAAAACAUAUAAAGGCUCAGAUAUCCCUCUACAAACGAAUACGUAAUUAGCACGUCUCAAACACAUUUAAGGUCUAAGGAAGGAAGAAUUUUUCAAAAGCUAGAGUAUAAGUAAAAAAAAGAAACUGGAGAAUUUGCAGAAAAGACUUUAAAGAAAAAUCGUUCAUAACUUAAAAAAGGAGUAGUAGCAGUUUUUAGUAAUAUGCAGGAAUCACUUAGAAACAUUUGUGGAACAUAUGGUAAAACAGUUUUCGGACAUGCAGAGUAAAAGAACAAAUAUGAAGGUAUUUUGAGAUUGCAGAAGUGUGAAGAAAACAAUGAAUAUUAUUAGCUUUCAAAAUUUAUAGAGUUAUAGUAUUCAGAUAGUUUAACAAAUAGUAGUCCAGUUCUAGACAAAAUGUAGUAGAAACUUUUGCAUGGAUAGUUUAAAAUAGGGGCAGAAGUAUACAAAUUAAAAGAGCAACAAAUUCAGACGGAGAUGGAUUGGUUUGAACACGACUUAAAGGUAAUUAGUCAGUUUUUAUCCGGCCUAAGGCUUGCCUAGGCAUUAUUAAAGGUGGUGAACAUGCACAUUUGUUUCCAGUUUUAACAAAGAGUUGUUAACCAAUUUUUAUCCAGAUUAAUGAAGCGUUAAGCAGUUGCAAGUAAAAUCCUAAAGGUAUGAUAUCUAAUGCACAAAAGUCCUAAAAACCAUGGUAUCUAAAUGUGAUGGUAAUGACUUGUUGGUUAUUGAUUAAUUUGUAACUGAAGACGUGCAGAAUAACAACUGAGAGUGAUAAGCCUAAGAACAUGAUUUCUAUAUGCAAAGAUGCAUGUCCUAAAGCAUGGUAUCUAUUGCACAAGUAAGUAAAUAAAGCCCUAUAAACAUAUUUUCUACCCAUUCCCUUAACUAAGCAUGCAUAACCCUCCCAAUUCACUAUAACCCUCCCAAUUCACUAUAACCCCCAUUAUUUUUUACAAAUUAUUAAAGCCCUAAUAAUCAAAUUACAACAGUGGUAAAAAAGAAAGAAAAUAAAAAGUUAUUCUAUAGGAAGCCUUCAGCCAGGCCAAGCAUCUCCAACCUCACUUCUUCCGAGUUUCACAGGCAUUACCAAGGCUUGGGCGCGGUAAAGUUCAAUAAGGGUUGGUUUAAACCCUAGCCAAUACCAAGCACCCAAAAUAUCAUUAUUUGAUAAGUGCAAGUGUGGAAGUGCCAGCCUUGUGCAUCAAAGUUCAAUGGGUGUUCAAGGGCUCCCAUGGAAAUGCUUGCACUAAGGGAGCAUAACCUAAUGUUCUAAGAGUAGUAAGAUUGUGAGAGAGUUGAAAACAAUUGAGACAGUUUGAGAAAACAGUUGAAAGAGUUCUUUUGAAAUCAUUUGGACUGACUAGUUUUNNNNNNNNNNNNNNNNNNNNNNNNNNNNNNNNNNNNNNNNNNNNNNNNNNNNNNNNNNNNNNNNNNNNNNNNNNNNNNNNNNNAAAAAAAAAACAGGGCAUCACACAAACAAAAGAAAAAGGGAAGGAAACAAAUAAGCAAAAUAAACUACUCACGCAGGCAACACAUUGGAGGAAAGUAAUCAGACAUGGUUGCAAAAUAAGAGUUCAGUUCUUACUGCACCAAACUAUAAUACAGUCAACCUCAGUAAGAGGUUUUAGGCCAAUCAAGUAGCCAAGUAGACAUGGAUACAUGGUAGUGAUACACAAGGAAAAAGUAAACAUUCAUUGAGAUGAGGGAUGGGGUAAGGGGAGCAUGCUGAGUUAAACUAAGCAGACUAAUAAACACAUGCUAGUGACAAUAAGAGCAGCAGAACCAUAGGUCAAAACACAAGGAACAUGAUGAAGUGCAGAAUUAACAAAAAGCACUGUAUACUAAUUAGAUGACAUACCAGUUGCAGGAAAAUAGAACACAAACACACACAAGGAACAAGAUGAAGUGCACUACUAACAAAAGCAUGUUGUUUUGGAAACUGUAUACUAAAUAGAUGACAAACCAGUUGCAGGCAAAUAGAACACAAGAGCAAUGAGCACUAAUGAACAAGAGGAGAGCAAAGUGUGCAGAGAAUGAGAGCAGUAGUGUGAGAACAACAGUGCAGAGAAGCAAGCAGCAAGCAAACCUAAGCAACCAAUGCAGUAGAACCCCAGUAGUGUAGAAAUAAACAACCAAGAUUACUCAAUCUUGGCUUUCAUCCGAUUGAGUGAGAGAGUUUGUAUAGAAACAAAAGAGAAAAGGAGAACACUGAGUGUUAUUGAAAGAGGGUUCAUAGAGAUUGCAAUGUGUGUUGGUGUGUUAAGUGAGAAAGGAAUAACAGUACUUAUAGUUUUUGAAAAAAUAGUAGAGAAUAGAGUAAGAAGUAUAUAAUUAUAGAAACAAUACCAAAUUGAAUCAAUCACAGGUCCUAAUUCAACUAAAUCAGGGACUCAUGAUUCGAAUAGGAGCGUAGGCUAUCAAGUAAAGAAAGAAUAAGUCAGAUGACUGAUUAUACCAUAACAAAAAGCAGUAAGCAUGCUGCAUGUAAUAAAGGCUAGGUACAUAAUCAUUCAGACAAGGAAAAUAUAUGCUGAAUAACCAAAAAUAUAUUUAAGUGCACAAGUAUGGUAACCUUAUAAAUCAACUAUGAAAAAUCAGUCAAAGGAUCACGGGCAAGACAAAAAUCAAAGGGAAUUAUUCCCAAAGAUAGAAAGCAAACUCACAAGUAAGGAAACAAUUUGAAAAAUCAGUGUAAGAAUACCUACAAAUCAGGGAUUCAAAAGAUGCUCGGAAUUAAUAAAAUAUUCAGUAAAGAAAGGCAUUCAAAUUUAUUUAAGCACAACAAUAACAAAACUAAGAACCAGAAUUAACAAAAUAUCAGUAAAGAAAGGCAUUCAAAUUUAUUUAAGCACAACAACCAUAAAACUAAGAACCGUAAACAAGAAAUUGCAUAAAACAGUGGGGAGUCGGAACCCUAUAAGAGAUUUAAGACAUGGAACUCAGAAAACAAAAGGUUUCAAGUACAUAACAUAGGAAUAAUCACAUAAUACCCAAAGAAACAAAAGCCUAAUGAUUUUUAAAAAGGGGUGAGAGACCCUGGUUUUGAAAAGAGGGACAAAACGUUUGAAAACUUGAAUUAAUCAAAGAUAUCAAGUGAAAAGUAGUGUAAAAAUGAAGAUUAAAUCGGAAGGAGGAACAAAACAUUCGAAAACUUGAAUUAAUCAAAGAUAUCGAGCAAAAAGUAGCGUAGAAAACAAAGAUUAAACCGAAAAUUGCUUAAAGAGACAGAGGUUUAAGAGAUUUAGGCAAAAAAUUAGGGUUUGCAAAUAAAUUAGGGAGAUGAGAAACCUGGCUGUGAAACUCAUAUAAUAUCGAUAUUCAAGCAUCAUCGGACCAAAACCCAUCAGAGAAAGGCCGGGAACAGACCCAGCCAAAGCUUCAACAACCAUCUUUCAUGGCAGAAGCUUCUGGGCUUCAAACUUUAGAUAGAAACAACAAGAUGAAGGUUCCAUGGUGAAUAGCGGUAGAGAGGAGUGAGGGUGGAGGUGGCCGGAAUGACGAUGAAGGCCAUCGGAGAAUAGAGAGAGAACCAGAAGGUUCUAGAGAGAACUCAGAGACGAAGGGUGUUAGAGAGAGAGAGACCGGUCUCUUGCAAAUGAGGGUGAGGAGUAGGGGUUAUUAGGUUUUAAUUUUGGUAAUUAAAUCUUGGCCGUUAAUCUCAUUUGAUCAGCGGCUCACGGUCUCUUGCAAAUGAGGGUGAGGGGUAGGGGUUAUUAGGUUUUAAUUUUGGUAAUUAAAUCUUGGCCGUUGAUCUUAUUUGAUCAACGGCUCAGAUCGAAUCAAGGCUGGGUCGGGUUGUUAAAGGGGUAUGGGUUGGGUUAUUUUAUGAAUUGGAUAGCCUAAAUGAGUUCAAAACUGGGCUGAUAUGGGGUUCAAUUUAGGCUAUAAUGUAAAUAAAAUCUAGCUAACUUUUAAAUAGCCAAUUUCUCCCAAUUUAUUUUAUAAAAUAAUUUAAAAAGUAAAAUUAAAAGCACAGAACUAAUUAAUAACAUAUAAAUAUUAAUCUAUAAAUAUUAGAAAUAACUUUAUAACUAUGAAACAUAGUUAAUUGCAAAAGUAGUCCAUAAUUGCAAUUUCAUGCAACUACCUUUAAAAUUUCCAAAUAAAUUUGUAAAAAAUGUGCAAAAAUUAAAUAAACUAUAUCUUGUUAUAAAUAUGAGAGUGAAGCUCAUUAUUCACUAAAAAAAUAAUAAUUUGGAAAUAAUUUGGUAUACUGUCAAAAAUAGGCAGUAAAUUAAUUUUUAAAAUCUUAAAAAUUAAGGAAAAAUACCAAAAUUUCCUAGCAUGCUUAUAUAUGCAUACAUAUUCUAUUUUAAAAGAAUUUUGGGUACAAAAUAUAUAUAGUGAAAAAUUGGGUAUCAACAACCGCCCCUUUUUACCUGAGGAGGAUGAAAGAGUUGUCGGAUAAAGAUAAGAUGACCAAUUUUGACCGGAAUUGCGAUUAUAAGAGAACUUUUACCGUGCUCUGGUUUAUGAGCUGCCUACAUAUCUCUUGUUUUACAGGAAUCAGGGCAUAUGUAGUUCAAAAAUCAUUGGCAGAAUAUGCCGAUGGAGGCUUGAAAUAACGGACGCGAUGGUUAGAUUUGAAAGGGAUUUGUAGGUUGGAUGAACUGCAGAGAACUGGAGCAGGAUCACCCCUGCUGAGAGGGCCGUGAGCUAAUCAGAACACAUGCAAAUGGACAAUGCGCAUAUAUCUUGCGUAAUUUAAACGUGACACAAGUUCCCAUUGUACCAUAAAUGUUUGUCCUUGGACGGUCAGGAUGAUGUCCUCAGACUAUGAUGUCCUGGUCCAUGAAAAUCAUAAAAGUAAAGGUUCAUAGGCCAUGGAAUGAUGUUCUAGGGCUAUGCAAAUGGUGCUUUCGAACUAUGACGCCUUUGAACGAGUUGCGAUCUUUCAGCCUAUGAGAAAAGUGCCAAUCUUUCAGCCAAAUGAAUGCAAAGGGUGGUGAUCAUUCAGCCCGAGCGAGAAACUAAAACAGAUGGCGAUAUUUCAGCUGGAUGAGUAUUUCAAAUGCAGGUGGCGAUGUUUCAGCCAGUCGAAGAAUAAAGCGGUGAUAUUUCAGCCAGGCAGAGGGGAGACAAUGCUUAGUAUCGAAAGGCAAAUGAUAGUCUUAUGCAAUGUGGUGGUAGAGCUUAACCUCAGAAGGCAGAGAUUAGCCUUAUGCAGGAUGUGAAUGGAGACAAAGCUUAGUCUCGAAAGGCAGAAGGUAGACUUAUGCAAGAUGGAAGUAGAGUUUAACCUCAAGCAGCAGAGAAUAGCCUUAUGCAAUGCAGGAUGGAGACAAAGCUUAGUCUCGAAAGGCAGAAGAUAGCCCUAUGCAAGAUGGAGGUAGAUCUUAACCUCGAAAGGCAGAUGAUAGCCUUAUGCAAUGCAUAAUGGAGACAGAGCUUAGUCUCGAAAGGCAGAAGAUAGCCUUAUGCAAGAUGGAGGUAGAGCUUAACCUCGGAAGGCAGAGAAUAGCCUUAUGCAAUGUAGGACGGAGAUAGAGCUUAGUCUCGAAAGGCAGAAGAUAGCCUUAUGCAUGAUGGAUGUAGAGCUUAACCUCGGAAGGCAGAGAAUAGCCUUAUGCAACGAAAAAGUGUAAAUGAGAAGAUAUCAGUGAUCUUCUUAGCUGGUAGACGAUUGCGAUAUCCUGACUGCUGGGGAAAUGUGGGGUGUAGAUAGUAAGCUUUUAUGAAGUGAGUGAGAGUUUCCGACUCUAUAGAGCAAAUACAUUGUUAACUCGUGUCCCGAAUUCCUAUAUCCAAAGAAAAAUCGUGAGUUCUGUAAAGGGAGAGGUUAGUUCGUGUCUCUCGGCUCGUGACAUCCUGUGCCAUUUGGGGUAGCGUUGCUAAACUAUAGCGAUCCAAAUGACUUUAUGCAAAAUUUGACAAACAUGAUGCAAAUGUAUAUAUAUUUAGUAAAGAGAAGAAUAAUUUUGUUUUAUGAUGAACCAACAACUACAACGUGGUUCAAGACACGACGACCUCGUUUGCUUCAGAAUUAUGAGGGUCCUCCUCAGAAAUUUGCCCUAACAACGUGGUUCAAGACACGGCGACCUCAUUUGCUCCAGAAUUUUGAGGAUCCUCCUCAAAAUUCUGCCCCAGUUUAUUGGGCUGGUGCUACUGGUGGAUGUGCUGAAUAACCGAACGCGGAAAAAUUCCAGAAUUUUGAGGGUCCUCUUCAAAAUUCUGCCCCAGAUUGUUGGGUCAGCGCUGAGAAAUUGACUUCAAAAUUUUUAGGGACCUCCUCAAAAUUUUGUCCCAGUUACAAUAGCGGGGGAAAUGGAAUUUUUUAUUAAAAUGUGACCUAACCCAUAGGGCUGCCUACACAUCCCCUCUUAAACGGGAAUCAGGUCAGGCGUAGUUCAAAUUACAUCAUAAAGGAAAGCACAAUGAUCAAAUAUAGUAUCUGUUCACUGCGUCUGAGUUGAUAGGCUUCAACCAAAUUUCUUUGUCCAUUUCUGCGAGAAUAAGGGCUCCUCUAGUUAGAACCCGAUGAACCAUGUAUGGAACACGCCAGUUGGGAGAGAAUUUCUCUUUGGCUUAAACUUGAUGUGGAAAUAUUUUUUUCAACACCAGCUACCCUGGUAUAAACUUCCUUGGAUUGACUCUCUUGUUGAAGGCUCUGGACAUUCUUUUUUGAUAUAAUUGACCGUGACAGACAACAUUCAUUCUCUUCCCGUCGAUGAGGGCUAACUGCUCGUAGAAAUUUUUGACCCAUUCUACAUAAUCUAAUUCUGCUUGUUGUAUGACCCUUAAGGAUGGAAUUUCUACGUCAGCGGGAAUGACCGCCUCCGUACCAUAAACCAGUAUGUAAGGAGUGGCCCCAAUUGAUGUGCAGACCGUGGUACGGUAACCCAAUAAAGCGAACGACAAUUUCUUAUGCCAGUGCUUGUGCUUUUUAAUCAUUUUCCUUAGUAUCUUCUUGAUGUUCUUAUUGGCUCCUUCUACAGCUCCGUUCAACUGAGGUCUGUAAGCCGUAGAGUUCUUAUGUCUGAUCUUGAAUGUUUCACAUAUUGCUUUCAUUAGGUCAUUGUUGAGGUUAGAGCUGUUGUCGGUGAUGAUUGAUUUUGGAACCCCGAACCGACAAACCAUACGAUCUCGGACAAAAUCUGCAACUACCUUCUUGGUGACUACCUUGUAUGUUGCUACUUCAACCCAUUUGGUAAAGUAAUCGAUUUCCACUAGGAGGAACCUGUGCCCAUUUGACGUGGCUGGCUCAAUUGAUCCAAUGACGUCCAUACCCCCAAGCAGCGAACGACCAUGGUGAGCUUGUUGCAGUAAGCUCAUUUGGAGGCUCCUUUAUCAUAUCUACAUGUAUUUGACAACGGUGACAUUUCCAGACGUAUUGAAUGCAGUCCAUCUCCAUAGUCAUCCAAAAAUAACCUACUCGAAGUAUCUUCUUCGCCAAAAUGAAACCAUUCAUAUGUGUUCCACAAGUCCCUGCGUGCACUUCCUCCAAUAGCCUGGUUGCUUCUUUUGCCUCGGCACACCUUAAUAGCCCCAAAUCAGGAGUCCUCCUAUAAAGGAUUCCUUCGUUGUGAAAGAAAUUAUUGGAAAAUCUCCGAAGUAUUCGUUUCUGAGUAGUAUUGGCAAGCUUUGGGUACCCUCCUGUUGUCAAAUAUUCCCUGAUAUCAUGGAACCAAGGUUUCCCAUCGACUUUUUCCUCGACGCGAGCACAAUAAGCUGGCUGGUCAUGAAUCUUGACCGGGAUGGGAUCAAUAAAGUUUGUAUUCGGAUGCUAGAUCAUGGAUGAUAAAGUGGCUAAAGCAUCGACAAACUAGUUCUGUGUUUUGGGAACUUGCUGGAAUUCCGUCUUUCUGAAUCUUUUCCUCAACUCUUGCACAUGGUGUACAUAAGGGAGUAUCUUGGAAUUUUUGGUUGCCCAUUCUUCUCGAACAUGAUGUAUGAGUAGGUCUGAAUCUCCGAUCACUAGCAGUUCCUGAACAUUCAUGUCAAUGGCCAGCUUGAGCCCUAAGAUACAGGCUUCGUACUCGGCCAUAUUAUUGGUGCAAGGGAAUCUGAUCUUGGUGGACACGGGGUAAUGCUGACUAGUUUCUAAUACCAAAACUGCUCCUAUACCCACUCCUUUGAAGUUUACAGCUCCGUCGAAAAAAUAUCCUCCAACCAUCAUAGGAUUCCGCAAUAUCUUCUCCUAUGAAGGCUAUUUCUUCAUCGGGAAAGUACGUCUUUAAGGGUUCAUAUUCUCCUCCUACAGGAUUCUCAGCGAGGUGAUCUGCCAGGGCUUGUCCUUUGAUUACCUUCUGCGUAACAUAAAUGAUGUCAAAUUCACUUAAUAAUAUCCUCCACUUGGCGAGCUUGUAGUAGGUAUGGGUUUCUGGAAAAUAUAUUUCAAUGGAUCCAUCCUAGAUAUGAGAUGAGUGGUGUAAACGCAGAAAAAAUGCCUCAAUUCUGAGCUACCCAGGUUAAAGCACAACAAGUGCGCUCUAAUAAGGAAUAGCGAGCCUCGUAAGGGGUAAACUUCCUACUGAGGUAGUAAAUGGCAUGCUCCUUCCUUCAUGUUUUGUCAUGUUGUGCCAAAACACAACCAAAUGCCCCAUCUAAUACUGUGAGAUAAAGCAAUAUAGGUCUCCCUGGCUCGGGUGGAACCAGGAUUGAUGGCGUUGAAAAGUAUUCCUUGAUUCUGUCGAAAUCCUUUUGACAAUCAUCAGUCCAUUUAGUGGCAACAUCUUUCUUUAGCAUCUUGAGGAUGAGUUCACAAAUGACAGUGGACUGAGCUAUGAAUUGGCUGAUAUAGUUGAGUCUCCCCAGAAAACUCAUUACCUCUUUCUUAUUCUUCGGCAGUGGAAACUCCUGAAUGGCUUUGGCCUUUGACGGGUCCAACUCUAUACCCCGGUGACUCAUGAUGAAACCCAAUAGUUUUCCGGCUGGGACCCUGAAUGCACACUUGACGGGGUAGUUUCAGGUUGUACCUCCUUAGUCUGUUGAAGAAUUUUCUCAAAUCUUCCAUGUGAUCUGCAACUUUUCUGGAUUUAAUGAUGACAUCGUCCACAUAUAACUCGAUCUCCUUGUGUAUCAUAUCAUGAAAAAUUAUGGUCAUGGCUCUCAUGUAAGUAGCACCAGUAUUCUUCAAACCGAAGGACAUCAUUCUAUAACAAUACAUUCCCCACGGCGUGAUGAAUGUCGUUUUCUAUGCAUCCUCUUCGUCCAUCCAUAUCGAUGGUACCCAGCAAAACAAUCGAUGAAUGACUGCAGCUCAUGUUUGGCGCAGUUAUCGAUCAAUAUGUGUAUAUUUGGCAAAAGAAAGUCGUCUUUAGGACUGGCCCGGUUGAGAUCCCGGUAGUCGACACAGAUUCUAACCUUCCCAUCCUUCUUUGGUAUCGGCACAACGUUGGCUAACCACGUUUGAUACUCCACUACUUUGAGAACCCUGGCUUUGAUUUGCUUUGUGACUUCUUCUUUGAUUUUCAAAAUCAUGUCUGGCUUGAAUUUUCUUAGUUUCUGCUUGACCGGUGGGCAUGUCGGAUCUGUUGGAAACUUGUGAGCCACAAUGGACGUGCUGAGGCCGGUCAUAUCAUCAUACAACCAGGUGAAUAUGUCCUCAUACUCUUUCAAAAAUUUUGUGUAUUCUUCCUUUUUGGAUGGUGACAAGUGUAAGCUAAUUCGUGUUUCCUUGAUAUUUUCUGCAUCUCCCAGAUUAAUGACCUCAGCUUCGUUUGUUCUCAAAAUUUUGACCUCUUUAACAACCUCUUAUGGUAUUUCAUCCUCUUCUGAAUCUAUGUCCAUUUGUCGCAUUGUCUCGUUGCAAGUUACAGUCAUUGGUUCAUCAUUAAGAUAUGUAAUAGUAAUGUUGUGUAAAAUAAAGUAAAUGGUAAAAAAAAUAAAUGAGAGCAAAAUAUAAAGAUAAACUUGGAAAAUGCUUUUGAUUAAAUUCAUAAUUUUCUGAAACAUCGGAGCUCUUUUCAAAAGUAAAGACAAUGCUGAAAAGUAAAAUCAACUAAAAGUAAAGUGCGAUGCAAUCAGAGCCCUUUUUCAAAAGUAAAGACAAUUUUGAAAAGUAAAAUCAACUAAAAGUAAAGUGUGAUGCAUGUGUGUCAUUUAGCCUUGCUUCCCCGAGGCUCUACGGGCACUUGUGGUCCUGAUUGACCAAUUGGUGAGGUGUUCUCCCUGGUUCACAUCUUGAAUGGAAGGGCCUUCCUCCCCUUCCUCCUCGAAGGUAACACAACAAUCCAUGUCAUCCUUGAGAAACAGGUUCUUCAUGGUUGCUAGCGUCUCAUUUUCCUCUGAUAUGACAUCACCGGGCUGAAAGGUCUACUCUAACUACGGUAGAGGGUGCUCCAAUGGGUAGUAGGGACCGCGCCAUGGUGGCGACCAGUGCAUGAUAAAAUGAACACAAUAAUUUCUAUCUUUUUGUUGAGUUGUAGCUUAUUGGUUUUUCAAGCAAAGACCGAAAUCACAGAGAAGAUAUCUGAAAAUGCUAGGAAUUCAAAGUGUCAGCAUGUUCAUCAACUAGUUUCUUUGGGAUCAAGUAGUUGAAGAGAGCCAUAUAAAAUUGAGAGAAUUAAAUUCCUUAUUGAACUGUUUCCCCCUUUAUUGGGUAACAACAACACCAUCAAAGUCAUUUCAAAGAUUCAGUAAAUGUAUGACCGCAAUUUAUUUUCUAAACCUUCAUCAAGAAUAAAAGAGGGAAAAAGGAACGUGUACACACGAAUGUGGUUUUAACUGGGUGUCACCAUCAGUGUCCUUUUUUGUGCAUAUAUCAACAACAAGAAGUGCUGAAUUAUCCUGUAGAAGAAAAAAUGGGAGAAUUUUGAUAUUGUAUUUGUGCAUAUAUCAACAACAAAAAGUGCUGAAUUAUCUGGUAGAAGCAAAAAUGGGAGCAUUUUGAUAUUGUUCGAUGACAUUGUGCACCUCCGUUUGCAUGAUAUACCUAACUUACUCCACCUCGUUUAAAUCCUAGGCCAAAGUCAGAGCACCAUGCUAAACAACAAAAGUUCUUUUUAGUGGCAUGCUUUCUAAGUCGGUUUCAUCUAAAACUCUUCACAUUCAUCAUACUUAUCCACAUCUUUCCACACUCCAAAAAUGAAUUUCCUGGGAAGCGACAAGCUUAUCUCAUUUAGAGCUUUAAGAUUUCAUUAAGCUCCAAAUAGGCACUUAGUUUGGGUAUCAUCCUUACACUGAUGUGCUUCACAGUUUAAAAUGGUAGCGGAGGCGGCCAGAUUUGCUUAGCAAACUAAAAAUAUCCUUUGCAAAAUCUUGAUUACCAGUUAGCAUAUGUGCUUCACAGUUUAAAAUGGUAGGGGAGGCGGCCAGAUUUGCUUAGCAACCUCAAGAUCUCCUUUGCGAAAUCUUGAUUACGAGUUAGCAAAAGCCCAUUUAGGACCCGGUUGAAGGUAAAUUUUUGAGGAAGAAAUCCUCUGUCAACCAUUUCUGUCAAUAGUUUCCUAGCCACUAAUAGAUCAUCUGAUUUUUUCCUAACAAACAUUGCACUUAUAAAAAUAUUAUAUGUAUCCAGAUUAGGUAAACAGCCGCCGGUACUCAUCCUCUCAAACACCCUCAGGCCCUUCUCAAUUUCCCCUUCAUCACAAUUGCAUCGGAUGACAACAUUAUAAGUCUGAAUGUUUGGUUCACACCCAUCUUCUUUCAUCUUAUCCAUAUAUUCCGCAGCCCUGCCCUUUUUUCCCACAUUGCACAAUCCCCUGAUAAUGGCAUUAUAAGUUGUGGCAUUCGGCAAAUAACCUUUCCUCCACAUCACAUCGAACACCAAAAUAGCAUUUUCCACACUAUAUUUCUUACACAAGACUUGUAUCAACGCAUUAUAUGUUGCAACGGAGGGAAGUAUGCCAGCUCCCACCAUUUCAUUGAACACAUUUUGCGCCUUCUCAACUUCACCCGCAACACCAAAUCCGUUAACCACAGUAGUGUAAGUAACAACAUCAAUAUCACAUUUCCUCCUCUUCAUCUGCAAAAGGAAUUCCCGUUCGCUAGUGUGUUAUAACUAAUCGUAUCAACUCUGAACCUGCUCCUAAUCAUCUUGAACAAAUUAUAAGCCAUCUCGGCCCGUUUAGAUUUACAAAGCAACAUAGCUUCGAUUACUUUUGGAACAUCUUGUUCGUCCAUAUUUACCCCAUGGUUUUUCUUUGAUCUUAUAUUCUUCUUGAUUCGGCACACAACAAUAUCCUCCUUAGGAAUAUUGUUUUCUCUAAAGAAAUCAUCCCCGACGGAAUAUUCUCUCAUCAGCGAAAUUUUGUUGUGCUCUCCUUCUUUACUACGACUUUGAAACUUGAAACAUCUUCUAAACCCAACUACAGUUCCCUUACCUUUCUUGAUAGGAUCAAUACCUGUUUGGCCUUUCCAUGUCCCGUAGGCGCAAGUUCGACGAACCCUUGAAUGUUCCCUCUUCUUCUUCUUCAACCUAGUAAAAAUAUAGCAAACCUUCCCUUCGGGAUGAUCAGAAUUAUCUUCAAAUAUCUCCCAUGGUGGUUGGUCUCCAUAGAUAUCGGCAAGCUGGAAAUUAUGGCAUUCACUCUGCAAAAGCUCGCCCUUUAGGAACCUUUUCAGAAAGUUGAUCAACUCUACUUCAGUAGGGUGAAACCGAACACCCAUGAUACACCCACGACGUGCAGCUGGCGGCACCAUCGACAUGGUAUAUGUGGUCGUCUCUUUUCUUGCUUAUAGAGAAACACAAGAACAAGACAAUAGUAGUUGCCGCAAUAUGCAAAGACAAGAACUAGGAAACAAAACCCUAAACGAAUGGCGGAAGUUAAUUGAUGUGAAUGCUGUAAUAUAAUUGACUAUUUAUAGAUAUCUGAUCAGGUUAAUUCCAACAACGAAAAUUUAGGAAACAAAUUUAUAGGAGAGAAAAGAAGAGUUGAUUUCUGCGGAAGGUUAACGCUUGGGGCUCAAGUUAGUUUUUUCGUAAUAUACAAUGCGUAAAUUUUUAAAAUGCAUGUAUGAUUUAAUCUAUUUGGCGCAUUUCUUUCUUUUUAUGUGAUAAUUGUGGUGUACUGGCCAGCUUGCGCGCACCUCGACUAGUCCCAUGGGAUACCUGUCACCUCCCACCAGCAACAAGUACCAGAAGGCUUGGACAAAUUUAAAGAGGUUUGAACCUCAGACCUCAUGGUUCUC
rnacentral:lncRNA from 1 species